GACAGAACCCCCAAGCGUUAUCCGGAUUUAUUGGGCGUAAAGGGUCCGUAGGUGGUUAAGUUAGUCUGGAAUUAAAUGCCUUAGGCUCAACCUAAGGAAUGUUCUAGAUACGGCUUAACUUGAGGGCAUUAGGGGUUGAUGGAACGGUCGGUGUAGGGGUGAAAUCCGUUGAUAUCGACCGGAACACCGAAAGCGAAGGCAUUCAACUGGGAUGACCCUGACACUGAGGGACGAAAGCGUGGGGA
rnacentral:rRNA from 1 species